CCAAUUUUCUGCCACCGAAUACAUUAGCAUGGGAUAAUGGAAUAGGACCCUGUCCUCCUAUUUUCAGUUGGUUUUGGCAGCGCGAGGACUAGGGUAAUGAUUAAUAGGGAUAGUUGGGGGCAUUAAUAUUUAAUUGUCAGAGGUGAAAUUCUUGGAUUUAUGAAAGAUUAACUUCUGCGAAAGCAUCUGCCAAGGAUGUUUUCAUUAAUCAAGAACGAAAGUUAGGGGAUCGAAGACGAUCAGAUACCGUCGUAGUCUUAACCAUAAACGAUGCCGACCAGCGAUUAGGAGACGUUGAAUACAAAACACCACCAUCGGCGCGGUCGUCCUUGGCGUCUCGGUUUCGGCCGGGGCGCGGGGAUGGCUUAGCCCGGUGGCACCGGUGAAUGACUCCCCUAGCAGCUUGU
rnacentral:rRNA from 1 species